rnacentral:tRNA from 1 species
GCCUUCGUGGUGUAACGGUAGCACACUCGGCGCGUAUUCGGGAGGUAUAGGUUCGAGUCCCGACAAGGGCA